rnacentral:tRNA from 1 species
GCCAGUCUAGCUCAGUCAGUAGAGCAUGUGACUCUUGAUUUCAGGGUUGUAAGUUCAAGCCCCACGAUGGGUG